rnacentral:misc_RNA from 1 species
GUUGACCUCCACCCUUGCACCCUCCAUGCUAUUAUAUUUUAACUAGGAGCCUUUGUUGAGGUGGAUAACAUAGCCAGAAGAAACAAAAAACACUGUUGUAAUUUGUUUAACCAUAGCUAAGGAAAGGUGAAAGGAGGCCCUAAAGAAAGAAUCUCUUUAUGAGUUUGAGGCUGAGAGAAAAGCAUCCUGAACUAUGAGGAGAAGCUCAGUUGAUUAAGCCAUGUAAUGUCAAAUAUACCACAACCCG